rnacentral:misc_RNA from 1 species
AACGCACCUUGCACCCUUUGGUAUUCCGAAGGGUAUGCUCGUUUGAGUGUCAUUGUACUCUCACACUCUCUGAUCUUUUUGGAUUCAGGGAGCGGUGGACUUGGGUGUUUGCUGCUUUCGUUGUAGCUCACCUCAAAUGCAUCAGUGCAUCUCUUGGUUGGACAUAGUACGGCGUGAUAAGUAUCUUCGCCGGCACCUCGCAAGAGGGUGGCCGAUUGGGAGCUCUGUGCUUUCAAACCGUCUUCGGACAAAUUUUGACAACUUGACCUCAAAUCGAGUAGGACUACCCGCUGAACUUAA